AAGGUGUCAGUCGCGCUUCCCAUGUUAAAGUGUCUCCUCCGAUCUAACUAUAAGCCGGGUCUUUAGUGUCUGUCUUUCUGCUGCUCUUCUCCCUUCUCUCUCUCUUUCUCUCCCUCUCUCUUGCUCAGAACGGUCAUAUCGCGGCGUGCGGAAGAGGAGGAGGAGGGGGAUUAGUGGCCAGGUGUGUGGUGGUGUAGUGUGCUCCUGUUGCUGGGAGUCACGUGACUUUCCUGCUGCGGAGAGCGAGGGGCGGACGAGACCUGGUGGCGAGGGCGGCGACAGUGCUGGUGGACCGUCGCUACCGCCGUCACCUGGUGCUGUGGUGCGGUGUGGUGGUGUGGCGGCGUGCUGUGGUGCGGUAGCUGGCCCUCCUGUCCAUUUACCGCCAGACUCAAAAGGAAUCGAAACAAACAGAAAAGAGGAGACGCAAAAAACCAAGGAAUUAAUUAUGGCUGGGGAAGGAUGGGCUGCCUACCUACCUACCUACCUACCUACCUACCUACCUACCUACCUACCUUGCCUGCCUGGCUGCCUUCCUGCUCCUCAACCAGCGGGAGGCAUCGGCGCAACGGAAGGCGAGAGGACCAAGGGAUGAUAGGCGGUGAGCGUGAGGAGCCGCGCGGCACCGGACCGCCUGCUGCAGCACAGGGAAUGUUGAUAGCGGUGGUGGCAUCAGCAUCAACAGCAGCAGCAGAAGCAGAGGAGAAGGAGCGCCUGAGGGUGGUGCGCCGCCCCCCACCUGCAGCGGGUCUCAGUCAACACAGGGACACCUACAGGCCAUCCUUUGAUUGGAGGACUGGCGGCGGUGGGGAGGCAGCCAUUCCGGAGAGAGGCGGGCGUCAUUAGCCUAAUAUUGCUAAUGUCCAGCUGGCGGGGCGGCGUGACACGUCUCUUCCUAAUCCUUCACUGAAUGGCAUCCUGUUGAACGUCUGGGCUUACACACGAUGCUGGCUCUACCUCUUCAUCAUGUCUUCGAAGACCGUCUAUUUCCUCAGAAGGCUGCUCCUGCUGGCAAAUAUCUGACAUUUUGUCUUCUAAUUCCUGGA
rnacentral:misc_RNA from 1 species